UUGUGGCCCACAGGCAGCGGCGGGGAGCUCCAGCGUGAGUUGUCAUUACUCACCACACGAGGAGAGAAGCGUGAUCAAUAAACUCCGUAUGCUGCUCUCUUCUAUCUGCAGCGGAGAGGGAUUUUCACUGCACUGCAUGCUGGCAUCACGUCUCCCACAGCGAUAAAGGCUUUAUGGAGCUGUAUGGGCCGACGCUCCGCUCGCUACGUGCAACAGUCGAUCUUUGUGGAAGAACUAAACUCGUUUUUUUUCCGGUUUAACUGCAGGAGUUUUGCCUAAAGUCAGAAUGACGCUCAUCUGAAGUUUAGGAGCCUUUAAAUAGACAUCUAAAAAUACAGUUCUGUUCAUAAGGCCAGCUUUCUAAAUCUCUGAGAAACCACAUUCUUUUCUCAUCAGAAUCAAGGUGUUAUUUAUAUUUGAAAAAGCAGAACUAUUGUGUAAUUUAGACAAGUAAAGAGAAGGAAGAAAAAUAAAAUAACCUAAAUGACUCAAGUAGAAAAGAGUAGGGAAUUUUUGUCAAAUCAUUGUCAAAUCUUAAAUCUAGUUUAUACUGUAUGUCUUUUAAGUCUAACCUGUCAUAUGCACAUUAAAUAUGAUCAUUAUAGCAUUGCUGAUUAUUAUAGAACUUGAUUUAAUGUGUAAAAUUUUAGACUUGAUUGUUUUAAUGAAAAUAAGCUUUCUUCUUCUUUGCUUCAUGCUCUUGCAGCAUAGCUGUGUGAAGGAACUCCAAGAAUUUGGAUUCUAUGCAUGAGUACACAGAGGAGCCUGUUCUGUCCAGUGACCCUGUGGAGCUUCUCUCCAGAGUUUGUGGAGCAGACAACUGUCUAAUCAAAUAUGGAAAUGAAGCCUCCAUCAUAUCAGGAGGGACAAGAGAUCAUCACAUUUGGAAACUUCCCGGAAGUAUUUCUGGUAAUAUUUGGACUCAUGUAUGCAUUACACCUUAGCUAUCCUAAACAUCUGAACCAUAUGUUUGGGUUUGGGCAAAAAGUACUUCUGGGACUGUAUGGGAAGCUUUCCCCAGACUGCAGACUUAAAAAAAUAUUUGACAGUGUAAAUUUAAUGCUUAUUUAUUUCUUAUUUGUAUUUAUUUGUAAAGGGACAGUACAUAUUAAUGAACAUUAAAAAUGGAAAUAUGUAAAGAUUAUAGCCAACGUGGCUCAUUUCCAUCUUCAGUCCCUCGGCAGAUUGAUGUAAAAUCAUCUACAGGACAAAGGAAAGUACAACAACAAUCACACAAAAGUACACAACACCAGCACACACACUGUAAGCACAACACACUCACUGUACACACAACACACUCACUGUACCCACAACACACUCACUAUACACACAACACACUCACUGUACACACAACACACUCACUGUACACACAACACACUCACUAUACACACAACACACUCACUGUACACACAACACACUCACUGUACACACAACACACUCACUGUACACACAACACACUCACUGUACACACAACACACUCACUACACCACAACACACUCACUAUACACACAACACACUCACUGUACACACAACACACUCACUGUACACACAACACACUCACUGUACACACAACACAC